UGCCCCAGUAACGGCGAGUGAAGCGGCAACAGCUCAAAUUUGAAAUCUGGCCCCCCGGCCCGAGUUGUAAUUUGCAGAGGAUGCUUUUGGUGAGGCACCUACCGAGUCCCCUGGAAUGGGGCGCCACAGAGGGUGAGAGCCCCGUAUGGUAGGACGCCGAACCUCUGUAAAGCUCCUUCGACGAGUCGAGUAGUUUGGGAAUGCUGCUCUAAAUGGGAGGUAAAUUUCUUCUAAAGCUAAAUACCGGCCAGAGACCGAUAGCGCACAAGUAGAGUGAUCGAAAGAUGAAAAGCACUUUGAAAAGAGGGUUAAAAAGUACGUGAAAUUGUUGAAAGGGAAGCGCUUGUGACCAGACUUGCGCCGGGCGGAUCAUCCAGCGUUCUCGCUGGUGCACUCCGCCCGGCUCAGGCCAGCAUCGGUUUUCGCCGGGGGACAAAGGCUUCGGGAACGUGGCUCCUCUCGGGGAGUGUUAUAGCCCGUCGCGUAAUACCCCGGCGGGGACCGACGACCGCGCUUCGGCAAGGAUGCUGGCGUAAUGGUCAUCAGCGACCCGUCUUGAAACACGGACCGAGGAGUCAAGCAUUAGUGCGAGUGUUUGGGUGUAAAACCCGCACGCGUAAUGAAAGUGAACGUAGGUGAGAGCUUCGGCGCAUCAUCGACCGAUCCUGAUGUUUUCGGAAGGAUUUGAGUAGGAGCAUUAACGCUUGGACCCGAAAGAUGGUGAACUAUACUUGAAUAGGGUGAAGCCA
rnacentral:rRNA from 1 species